CCUAACACAUGCAAGUCGAACGGUAACAGGAAGCAGCUUGCUGCUUCGCUGACGAGUGGCGGACGGGUGAGUAAUGUCUGGGAAGCUGCCUGAUGGAGGGGGAUAACUACUGGAAACGGUAGCUAAUACCGCAUAAUGUCGCAAGACCAAAGAGGGGGACCUUCGGGCCUCUUGCCAUCGGAUGUGCCCAGAUGGGAUUAGCUAGUAGGUGGGGUAACGGCUCACCUAGGCGACGAUCCCUAGCUGGUCUGAGAGGAUGACCAGCCACACUGGAACUGAGACACGGUCCAGACUCCUACGGGAGGCAGCAGUGGGGAAUAUUGCACAAUGGGCGCAAGCCUGAUGCAGCCAUGCCGCGUGUAUGAAGAAGGCCUUCGGGUUGUAA
rnacentral:rRNA from 1 species